GGCUCAGGAUGAACGCUGGCGGCGUGCUUAACACAUGCAAGUCGAACGAUGAUCUCCAGCUUGCUGGGGGGAUUAGUGGCGAACGGGUGAGUAACACGUGAGUAACCUGCCCUUGACUCUGGGAUAAGCCUGGGAAACUGGGUCUAAUACUGGAUACGACCUUCCAUCGCAUGGUGGUUGGUGGAAAGCUUUUGUGGUUUUGGAUGGACUCGCGGCCUAUCAGCUUGUUGGUGGGGUAAUGGCCUACCAAGGCGACGACGGGUAGCCGGCCUGAGAGGGUGGACGGCCACACUGGGACUGAGACACGGCCCAGACUCCUACGGGAGGCAGCAGUGGGGAAUAUUGCACAAUGGGCGCAAGCCUGAUGCAGCGACGCCGCGUGAGGGAUGAAGGCCUUCGGGUUGUAAACCUCUUUCAGUAGGGAAGAAGCGA
rnacentral:rRNA from 1 species